UACGUAGGGGGCAAGCGUUGUCCGGAAUCAUUGGGCGUAAAGAGCGUGUAGGCGGUCCGGUAAGUCGGCUGUGAAAGUCCAGGGCUCAACCCUGGGAUGCCGGUCGAUACUGCCGGACUAGAGUUCGGAAGAGGCGAGUGGAAUUCCCGGUGUAGCGGUGAAAUGCGCAGAUAUCGGGAGGAACACCGGUGGCGAAGGCGGCAUCCUGGACCGAUAUUGACGCUGAGGAGCGAAAGCCAGGGGAGCAAACGGG
rnacentral:rRNA from 1 species